rnacentral:rRNA from 1 species
CUACGGGUUGCAGCAGUGGGGAAUCUUGCACAAUGGGCGAAAGCCUGAUGCAGCAACGCCGCGUGAGUGAAGAAGGCUCUUGGGUCGUAAAGCUCUUUCGGCUGGAAAGAAUGGCUUGGUGAGUAACUGCUCCAAGUUUGACGGUACCAGCAGAAGAAGCACUGGCUAAUUCCGUGCCAGCAGCCGCGGUAAUACGGAAGGUGCAAGCAUUGUUCGGAUUGACUGGGCGUAAAGAGCACGUAGGCGGAUUUGUAAGUUGGAUGUGAAAGCCCCGGGCUUAACCUGGGAACUGCAUCCAAAACUGCUUAUCGUGAAUACCUGAGGGGUUGGCGGAAUUCCUGGUGUAGGAGUGAAAUCCGUAGAUAUCAGGAGGAAUACCAGAGGCGAAGGCGGCCAACUGGCAGUGUAUUGACGCUAAGGUGCGAAAGCGUGGGGAGCAAACAGGAUUAGAUCCGGGUAGUC